rnacentral:lncRNA from 1 species
UGCGAUUUUCUCUUCGACAAUGGGCUCAUCUGCGAUCUUCUCUUCUUUAACUACAGGAGUUUGAAGAAGCUUUACUUCCGCUGGAUGUUCAAUCACCACAUUUUCUUCUACUACAGGAGGUUCAGCAGCAAUCUCUGGUUCUUCAACAACAUGAGCAUCAUUUGCAAUUUUCUCUUUGACAAUGUGCUCAUCUGCGAUCUUUACUUCAACUGCAGGAGUUUGAAGAAGUUUUACUUCUGCUGGAGGUUGAAUCACAAUGUUCUCUUCUACUCCAGGAGGUUCAGCGGCAAUCUCUGGUUCUUCAACAACAUGAGUAUCACUUGCAAUUUUUUCUUCGACAAGGGGCUCAUCCGCGAUCUUCACAUCUUCAACUACAGGAGUUUGAAGAAGCUUUACUUCCGCAGGAGGUUCAGUCACGAUAUUAUUUUCUACUACAAUAGAUUCAGAAGCAAUCUUUGGUUCUUCAACAACACUAGUAUCACUUGUGAUUUUCUCUUCCACAAGGGGCUCAUCUGCGAUCUUCACUUCUUCAGGUACAGGAGUUUGAAGAAGCUGUACUCCUGAUGGAGGUUCAAUCAUGAUAUUUUCUUCUACUGUAGGAGGUUCAGCAGCAAUCUCUGGUUCUUCAACAUGAGUAUCAGUUGCAUUUUUCUCUUCCACAAGGGGCUCAUCUGCAAUCUUAACUUCUUCAAUAACAGGCGUUUGAAGAAGCUUUACUUCUUCUGGAGAUUCAGUCAUGAGAUUCACUUCUACUACAGGAGGUUCAGCAGCAAUCUCUGGUCCUUCAACGUGAGUAUCACUUGCAGUUUUCUCUUCCACAAGGGGCUCAUCUGCAAUCUUAACUUCUUCAAUAACUGGCGUUUCAACAAGCUUUACUUCUUGUGGAGAUUCAGUCAUGAGAUUCUCUUCUACUACAGGAG